rnacentral:rRNA from 1 species
UACGUAGGGCGCAAGCGUUAUCCGGAAUUAUUGGGCGUAAAGAGCUCGUAGGCGGUUUGUCGCGUCUGCCGUGAAAGUCCGGGGCUCAACUCCGGGCUUGCGGGCGAUACGGGCAGGCUAGAGUUCGGUAGGGGAGACUGGAAUUCCUGGUGUAGCGGUGAAAUGCGCAGAUAUCAGGAGGAACACCGGUGGCGAAGGCGGGUCUCUGGGCCGAUACUGACGCUGAGGAGCGAAAGCGUGGGGAGCGAACAGG